AAUUAAUAUUUUAAUUUUUUAUUCUAUAUUUUUUAAGUAUGAUUAUAAAGUAGGAUUAAAACUCAAUUUCAUCACUUCAAUUGUCUUUUUUUUAUCAAGUUUAUUUAAUUUUAAUAUUUAAUUUCUGAUAUGCAUCAUUCUAUUCCAUGCUCUAAUAGUAUAAUUGAUUUAUUUUUUUUUCAAUUAUAUCAUGAGAUUAUUUAAUUCUAUCUUUAUUCAUCCUCUCAUUAUAUGAUAAACUCUAAAAAAAAUUUUGAUGUGCUAUUUUAUUUUCAAUUACACAUCUUUAUUCUUAAUAAUGAAAAGUUCUAAUAGUGGUUUGAUGUGCUACCUUUUUUUAUCAAAUAGACCAUUAGAUUAGUGUAUGAUCAUUGGUCAUUCUCUCAUUUAUGAAAAACUUUGAACAAUGUUUAAUUAGCAAUGAUAGUCUUCAUGUAUUUAAUAUAUUAAAUAAUUGGACUAUUUAACCGUUGGACUAGAUUUGAUUGAGGUAGUUAUAAGACAUAGUCAAUUAGCAUUACUAGUUUAGGGAUCUUAAAAAUAUGGUUACCCCUAUCUUAUAUUUUUUAGACUUUUCUUGUUCUAUUAUAUUUAAUAUUCUUUAUUAACCAUAGGUUCGAAAAUUCGGUACGUGUUGUUCGUGAAAUUAAUCAAAUCAUGAAUAAUCAUUGGAUGGGGGAUUCUAUGUCAUAUUCAAGCACUCCAUCAUUAAUGAAAGAGUUAUCGUGGAGCGAGUUUAAGGUAUAAAUGAUUAAUUUUAUAUCUAAAAUAGAAAUAAAUCUAUAUACUCAAUUAUUUUAUUUUCUAUUCAGCGGAUAUAUAAUUGGGACCCUGCUUAUGAAUUCGAAGUUAAGAAGAAUUUCAAGAAAAAAUGUGGUGAUCACAUUCGUCAUACUCUCAAUCAUGCUAAACAAAGGGGUAAAAAAUUACUUUGUAUCACAGAGGAUAAUUGGACUAAGAUUAAUAAUUUUUGGGCAACCAACGAAAGCAAACAACAAAGUCAACAGAAUAGAUUAAAUCAAUCUUAUAAUUCUGGAGACUUAUCUGCGACAUAUGCGGGAGGUUUAAUUAAUAUCGAUGAGCAUAGACGUAGAAUGGUAAAUAUUUAACUCUUCUACUAAUUUUUAACUCUCUCAAUAGGUUUUUAAUCUGUCAUUAUUUUAUUAUUUCUAAUUCUUUUUUUUAGACCAAAGUUAUGGGGAAAGAACCUUCAUUCAUUGAUACUUUCACCAAAACUUUUACAAAAAAGGAUAAGUCUUGGAGCGGGGCUAGAGCAAAAGCAAUAAAAGUUUGGAUUAAUUAAAAAUAUGUGUUUCUAAAUUAUUGUUACAAUAAAUUUAUUUUAAUUUUAUAAUUAUAAUACAGGACAAAUACGACGAGCUCGAGAUAACACAUAGAAGUUCAUGUGUUAGUGAGGAAACUGAGUCCUCUGUCGGUAAUAAUUUGGAUUUAUGGUUGGAGGCUAGUGGGGGCAGAAAGGGGGAAGGAUAUUGGGAAUGGGUUCUUUAAGUAAAAAUCAUAGAGUUUCCCGUAAAUCCUUUUCCACCUCAACAGCAGUUACAACUCAGAUCAAUUCCUUGACUGAAGAGGUUUCACAUUUAAAGGGCAUAAUAUUAGAAAGAGAUGAAGAAAGAAAAGUUAGAGAUGCAUAAAUGAGAGCUCUGCGUCAACAACAAAAUUUAAUUAUGAAACAUCUUCAGUUAAGUUCCGCUCCUGAUUUUGGUGAUAUUGGGAUGAUGGCGACGAUGGUGGCGAUGAAUCUUCUUGUAUGAAUUUUAUUUAUUUCAUAAUUAGUAUUUUUGAAUAUUAGUUAUUCUAUUGUAAACAUUUCUUUUUUUUGUUAAUAUUACUAAUUUUUUUGAAACAGAUUGGUCAGAUACAAUGAAAAUCAAUGUUGAAGAAGAAGAUGGAGAAGAUUUAGUCAUGUUUGGAAUUUUAUUGAAAUAUGGAUGGUUUAGAACUUCUUAUGAUGUUUGGAUUUUGAUGUAUCAUAUAUUUAGCUUGUAAGGAUAUUAGAUCAUGUUUGUAUUUUCAUGUAUCAUAUCUUUGGAUUGUAAGGAUAUUAGAUGAUGUUUGCAUUUUAAUGAAUGGAAUGUUUGGAUUUUAUGGAUA